CUAAAUACCAAAAUGAAAAUGAGAUUUCAAGAUUUUGGCAAGGGUUCCCCUUUGAGGAACGAUUUGAAAAGCUGAAGAGCAGCUCUUGGUUUAAACAAUGGAACUUCAUGCCCUGCUCCUCUCACUGUUGCAAAGUGUAGUGGAUAUGAAGUGAAUGUGGAGAGAAACAUGAAGACACGAGGAAAGGACAACAUAAAAAGUUGAGGAAGUUACCAUAAUUCCCUUGAGAUGAAUAGGGUGGGAGGACUUUGCAUUGUAGGCCAAGAUUUCUCUGGCAAGCUGAGGAACAUAAUGGCCAGCAUAGCUUUCACCUGUUAUAAAAAUGUCGCGGGUCUUGUACCAAGGGAAACGGUCGAGCCAUCGUACAAGAAACUCUAAGGAGUCCUUUGCUGAAAUAAUGUUUAUGAUCAGUCACCCGUCCAUCCAUCCAGGUACAUAUAAUUCAAAAAGCCAGGUUGGACCAAAAAGCUAACUCAUUACUUUUGCUUUCAAAAAGAAAGUAUGCCGAGUGUUUUCCAUUAUGCGUUCAACAAAAUGCAUGAAAAUUUAUUACUAUGGUUCUUAAAAACUAUUUUUCCUUUUUGCUUUUACUAUAUGAAAUGGAUAUGUAAAUAAAAAAAAAAAUGUGAUGAAAUGAUCCGGGGUGAAGCAAAGUAGCGAGGAUUUGAUAAAAGGUUGUCAACUAUUUAAAUAUAUAACAAUAAUUUAUUGAAACGUUUUUUUUUAAUGAAA